CGAGGACGAACGCUGGCGGCGUGCUUAACACAUGCAAGUCGAACGGGGAUCAUAUGGAUGAGAGCUUCGGCAGGAAUCCGAAUGAUUCGAGUGGCGGACGGGUGAGUAACGCGUGAGCAACCUGUCCCAGACAGGGGGAUAACACUUGGAAACAGGUGCUAAUACCGCAUGAGACCACAGUAUCGCAUGGUACAGGGGUAAAAGGAGAGAUCCGGUUUGGGGUGGGCUCGCGUCCGAUUAGAUAGUUGGUGAGGUAACGGCCCACCAAGUCGACGAUCGGUAGCCGACCUGAGAGGGUGAUCGGCCACAUUGGAACUGAGAGACGGUCCAAACUCCUACGGGAGGCGGCAGUGGGGAAUAUUGGGCAAUGGGCGAAAAAGCCUGACCCAGCAACGCCGCGUGAGUGAAGAAGGCUUUCGGGUUGUAAAGCUCUGUUAUAGGGGACGAAGGAAGUGACGGUACCCUAUAAGGAAGCCCCGGCUAACUACGUGCCAGCCGCCGC
rnacentral:rRNA from 1 species